rnacentral:rRNA from 1 species
CUCAACUGGGAGAGGUCCUUGGAUACUGGCGGACUAGAGGAAGGCAGAGGAGAGUGGAAAUCCCGGUGUAGUGGUGAUAUGCGUAGAUAUCGGGAGGAACACCAGUGGCGAAGGCGGCUCUCUGGGCCUUGCCUGACGCUGAGACGCGAAAGCGUGGGGAGCGAACCGGAUUAGAUACCCGGGUAGUCCACGCUGUAAACUAUGGACACUAGGUGUGGGGGGUAUCGACCCCCUCCGUGCCGAAGCUAACGCAAUAAGUGUCCCGCCUGGGGAGUACGGCCGCAAGGCUAAAACUCAAAGGAAUUGACGGGGGCCCGCACAAGCAGCGGAGCGUGCGGUUUAAUUCGUCGCAACGCGAAGAACCUUACCAAGGCUUGACAUGCUAGUGGUACUGAUCCGAAAGGUGAGGGACCCUUCGGGGAGCU